rnacentral:tRNA from 2 species
AGGGGCGUAGUUUAAUGGUAGAACAGCGGUCUCCAAAACCGCCAGUGUGGGUUCGAUUCCUGCCGCCCCUGCCA